AAUCCUGGGGGUUACAGGCAGCAAACUCAAGCCACCAAAUUUCUCGGUCCCUUCCCUCCCGCCCCCACAUACGCACACACUACACUCAGCUUCCUGACUUCUUUUGUUUCUUGAGUGUGUUGAUCAGAUUCCAGCCUCAGGGCCUUUGCACGGGCUAUUUCCUCUGCCUCAAACACUUGAAGGGACUGGCUCUUUCUCAGUCUCAGGCUUCAGCUUGCAUGUUGCCUCCUCGGAGAGGCUCUCCCUGACCACCUGAGCUUUAAAGUGUGCUCUUCCCACCCACCCCCCAAUCCCUCGAGCUUGUCCACUCAUUCCUUUAUCUGCCCAGAAUAUGCUGACUGCCUCCUGUGGGCCAGGCCUGACUCUGGGCAUGUGGGAUAGAACAGUGAACAGAGCAGAGCACCUCCCUGCCCUCUUGGAGCUGCCAUUCUCCCAAGGGAGACAGACAGACAGACAGGCACCAGUGACUAUACAGUACAAUGUGCUGAGGAGGGUCGGGGGAGAGUCAAGCCCGGGUGGGGGAAUCAGGAUGCCGGUGGGGAGGAGUCUGCAUGUUGCAGGGGGGAAGGUGCCUCUCAGGAAGUGACGCCAGGGAAAGAUUUGAAGGGAGUAGGGGAGGGGGCCAUGUGAGCAUCUGGGGAAAGAGGUUCAGGCAGAGGGAAGAGCAGGUGCAAAGGCCCUGAGGCAGGAAUAUGGCUGGCAUAAUGAAGGAGCAGCAAGGAGGCCAGUGUGGCUGGAGCAGAGUGUGUGAAGUGGGAUGAGGUCAGCGAGGGAGCGGGGUGGCAGACCAAGCAGACCAUGGUGAGAAUUUGGCUUUUGUCCUGAGUGAGGUGGGAGCACCUGACGGGUCCUGAGCAGAGGGACAACAGAGGUGGUGAGACGUAGUCCGCUUCCAGGUAGACUUCAGGGGGAGAACGGACCGUGUCGCGAUGGAUCGGGGCGAGGGCUGGGGAGAGGCGGGCGCCAGGAUAGCAUUCACAUUGGAACCAGGACCUCCUGACCCUCCCGGCAGACGGCAGCAUCCCCGCCUCCCCCUGCCUGACUGGAGGCCGAGCCCUGGACCAGGACACGCCCCCCCGCCCCCCGACAAGUGCGCUGGUGCUUCCAAGGUCAGGCCCAAAUCUGUGCCGGGCAGGGGGCAGCUUCGCGCCACUGAGCCUCCCCCACGCCGGCUGCCUGGGGGGACCCUAGUCUUCCCUCCUGCCCGUUCGAACCAGCAGCACUUACUGAGCUGGAGCAGUGAGGAGCGAGACAGACACGGUCUCUGCCCACGGGGAGCGCAGAUGUCCAACAGCGAAAGCCGGACAGAGGGUCCCAGUCAGCGAGCCCGCGGCCCGGGUGACCAAGCCAGGAACCCUGGCUGCUCUCGGGGAGGACACGGCUGCAGGCCAGCACUAAUGCUGAGGGCCGCCCUUUGCUGAGCCGUUAGUGGGAUUAACUUGUUCGUCCUCAGAACAGCUGCUACGGUCCCCAUUUCACAGAUGGGGAAACCGAGGCACGGGGAAGCAGAGGGCAGGAUGCGCAGAGCUGGCUUUGUCCUGCGUGGCUGGCUCUGGCCCUGCCCUCUCAGCGUGUCCCACCUGGGCUGGUUGUCAGGUGUGGAAAUAGGGUCUUAUGGUCCAGUGUAUCCUACUGUUAGGUGUGGAAAAAAAGUUUAACUGAUAAA